rnacentral:rRNA from 1 species
UACAGAGGGUGCGAGCGUUGUCCGGAAUCACUGGGCGUAAAGGGCGCGUAGGUGGCUAGGUAAGCGUGUGGUGAAAGUCCGGGGCUCAACCCCGGAUCUGCCGUGCGAACUGCCAGGCUUGAGCAAUGUAGAGGCAGGUGGAAUUUCGGGUGUAGCGGUGGAAUGCGUAGAUAUCCGAAAGAACACCAGUGGCGAAGGCGGCCUGCUGGGCAUCUGCUGACACUGAGGCGCGACAGCGUGGGGAGCAAACAGG